GGCAGUGCGGCUGCACGGUGAAUGAAUCGUCGAAUAAAUCGUCUGCUUCUGCAAAUCAAACAGUCCUUGUGCUAAGGAAGGAAGUCAGCUGGAGUGAAUACAGUCAUAUCCUCUUCUUGGAGAGAGCUUGCAAUGCAGAUCCCUUCAAGAUGAGUAGAAAGUUAAAGGAAAUAGCUUGGCAUGGGACACACACAGCCUGUUGAGAUAGUCCCAUGAAUGACAUCUGAAGGCUGGACAUUCACGUUACAGGUUCACAACCUACUAUCAAGAUACAGAAUCAGUGGUGACUACUGAGCCCAGUGAGUGCCUCCUCAGUCUGGGAUAAUAAAUGACAGUGACAGCAGCGGUCAUCCAUCCCAGGUUCCCUGGAGACGAGUGAGUGAACAGUGUACAUUCCUUUAUAGCCUCGGCUCUCAGCCUUCCUGAUGCCGUGUGCGACCCUUUUAAUUCAGUUCCUCGUGUAGUGGUGACCCUCAACCGUAAAUUACUUUUGUUGCUACUUCACAACUGUAAUUUUGUUACUGUUAUGAAUCAUAAUGUAAAUGUCUGCUAUGCAGGAUAUCUGAUAUGCAGCAGGUUGAGAACCAUGGCUUUAUAGGGAAGGGUGGAAGCUGUGGUUGGGUCCCACACUUAUACUCCUUACAACGAGGUGCCAGGUCUAAGAGUUUCCACACCUCUCUCUUGGGCAUCCUUGUUUACUCUUUGUCAAAAUGAACAAAAAGACAGAUAUUGGAUGUUAUUUUGUGAUGUCUCAAACAGUGAGCAAAUGAUAUAUUUACCAAGCCUACAUGGUUUGAACGAACAUGAAUUCUAGCUGUAAAUAUUCUAGGGAAUGAGUCUGGGUAGAUGCUGUCCACUAAUAAAUCUUGUUUUAUACUGGGCAUAGCAAAAGCCAUGCUCAUGCCUGAAUUAUUUAAGCUUUAUCACGAUUACAAGUGGUAAAGAUAUACAUUUGCUUAGGAUUUUAAAAGAAUGGCAGGCCCCUCACUCAUCCUCGGGGAAUAUGCACAGACAUCAGCUUAAAUGAGAAUCCCUUUUCCUCCGAUGAAAACUGUAGGCUCUGACAAGUCAAACACAAGGUUCCCAAAACAAUUCGGCAAGGACAAGCUAGAGACCAGAGCAGGGCUGCAGACGUCUUUCUCUGACUUAUGCUCUUGCUUGCCCAUGGCCUCUGUAUUCUGCAGGAGGAGCUAAUUUUAUCUCCAGGCCUGUGGGUUAAAGUUAAAUGGCAUGGCUUAUGCAAAGUGCAUAAUUCAAGUCUGAACAGAGCUUGACUCUUCUCAUUUAAAAAAAAAAAAAAAACAUCAAGUCAGGGCACUGGGUCCCACAGGAAUCCUCGGUUUAUAAACAGUUGAAUUGGUUUGCAUGAUAUUUCUUGAUGCCAUUCAUGGCUUUAAAACAUCGCAGCUGGUUUCAUUUUAUACCUAAUCAAAUACAAGUAGGGGGACUCAUGAUCAGGUUAGCUAGUCGACUGAUUUUAAGAAUCAAUGUUCACCAUGCUUAAUAUUGUUGUUUAAAAUUUUUAAAUGUAAGAGGCAGAAAUUUUUUUUAUAAGGUUGAUGAAAUUCAGACCUGAAAACAGUAUGGGAGUUCUUUUUCUUUCUUUCCGUCUUUAAUUAUUAAUUAGUAUCUAUGUUCUUGAGACAGAAUCUCACUGUCUAGCUAUGACUGGCCAGGAGCUCACUAUGUAAAUGAGUCCAGCAUCAGACUCACAGAUACCUGUCUGCCUCUGCCUCCUGAAUGCUGGGAUUAAAGGUUUGUGCUGCCUCACCCUCAAUAAAGUCAUUUAUAACAGACUUUAAGUAAUUUGGGAGGGGGGCUGGAGACAUGGCUCAGCAGUUGAAAACACUGGCUUUUCUUUUAGGGGAUCUGGGUUUGAUUCCCAGCACCCACAUGGGGGCUCAAAACCAUCUAUAAUUCCAGUUCCAGAGAAUCCAACGGCCUCUUCUGAACUCUCUGAGCACCAGGCACACUUGUGAUACCCAGACAUAUAUGUGGCCAAAACGCUCAUACAUUAAAAAAAAAAAGACUCUUAGAAAAUAAUGGGAUGAUAUUUUAGCUGACAUUUUUGAUAAAGUCCAUCACGGUUCUGAUGACUGUAUCUUGCCCAGAGAUCUGGGCGGGAACUUCUGUAUACUGACCAAAGCUGAAAACCAUCCUUAUUUUAACUAUGGUAUAUCAAUAAAUUCUAAUUUAACAAUACUAAUUGUAUCCUACAGUGUUAUUAUCAUCAGUUUUAAAGAUCACUGUUAUACUGAGACUAGGAUUGGAAUCUGAGAUUAGACGAUGGAAAGCAUGAUGGAAGGCGUGAAACUGCUUACUGCAAAUAACUCCAAAAUAAUUCUCUCCAAACAACUCCGGAAGUCUUCCCACUGGGAUGACAUACUGGGGAGAAAGAGUUCUCCUGGAGCACUCUGGUUCCCUGUAGCUGUGGCUACCUCUGUUUAAUGUGAACCAGGCUCAGGGAAUUGUGGGUACCUAAACUGUCACCAGCCAGAGGCAGCCAGAACCCAGCCAUUUGAAAAGAGAAUGAAACAAAAACAAAACAAAACAAAUCUUAAAUAGGCCGUGUUGGGAAAUUAGGAAUAGAACGCAGAGUAACCAUUUUGGAGGUAAGUUUGUUGCACUUUGUAAAUGUUUCAUGAUGCAGAGUGGGUGGGAAAAGCUCCCAAUUCAACAUCUCAUUGAGGAAAGCUCAGUUUCUCCGAGUUACACCUCAGGUUUGGGGUGUAACUCAGUAUACAUACGGUUCCGAGUUUCCUCCCUAGCACCACAUACAUACAGAGUUGACCCAGAUGACACCCUUAAUAAUUUAGUUCACCCAUUCAUUGCAUUAAAAAUAAGAGCUGACUUCCUUCAUCCUACUAUGUUUAGCAUUUAUGAACAGGAUUGUUAUAGAUUAUCUGGCUUUUAAUCUAAAUUAGCAAUGAAAGAAAAUGGAGGGAGUGGUCUGGUACUGCUAUGUAUUCAAAUGCUAAAUACUAGCCCCCCAAGAUCUGGUUCCCUCCACCCAUGAGGAGAUAGUCACAGACACUAUGUGAUGCUAUGUAACUUUGCUCCCCAAGUUAAUUGGUCAAUAAAGGGAUAAAGCCUAUGAUUGGGCAAUAGAGUGAGGUAGGUGGGUAUUCAGUUGCAGGAAGAGAGGGAGGAGGAAGAAAGGACUCAGAGAGUGGAGGAGACCGUCAUCAGAGGACAGGGACCAUGAACCCAUGGCCAGGAAAACCAGCAAGUAACAAGGGACACAUGGCUGGGAAAUGAGUUAGAAUAGCUCCAAUCAAGGCUUUACGACUUGUAAAUAAAACACCUGAACUGUGUGUCUUGUAUAUCGUCUAGCCAGAAUUUAAUUCCAGUUACAAAAAAGAAGUCCAUGCACCUAUCAAGGAUGGCUUAGUUUCAACUUCAAACAGUAUUCUUAUCUUGAACAGAAAAUCAAGUACAUACUAUGAGGCCUUUUCCCCAACAUGUAUUUUUCCUGUAUUUUAUUUUUAUUGUGUGUUUGUGUAGGUAUGUCUGUGUUGGGGGGUAGAUGCCCAUGUGUACACACGCAUGUAGACAGCAGAUUCAGUCUUGAGGGUGGUAGCUAUUUCUCAGGAUAGAUGUCCACCAUUUUUUGUUGUGUUCAUUUUUAUUUUCUUUCACACUGAGACCUGGGGCUACCUCCCUGGCCCUUUCCGGCUCCUAUAUGGUUUUUAGUGGACUUUUUUUUUUAAAUUUACUUUAUUGUAAUGAACUCACAAAUAAAAACACCACAUAGCUAGACUAAGGAAGCCACUCUAACAAAGACUUUUUCAGUCACAAAUGCUAUACACCACAAUGAAAACCGCACAGUUACAAUGGCCAUUCUGAAGCCAAGGAGUUCCACUCAGGAUUUACCCUUUCUCUCUCAACUACAUUUUAAUGCACCUUUCCACCAUAAACAAGAGAAAACUAUGACAGAGUUGAAUGUAGAAAAACAUUUAAGUUACUUAAGUCCUCUUUCAUGACCUAAUGUGUGCUUUUGAGAGUCUAAUUUUUUUGUAAGACAGUAAGACGUUUUUCUCUUCUUGUUUUUUUUCCUGUUUUGUUUUGUUUUGUUUUGUUUUGUUUUGUUUUGUUUUGUUUUCGGAGCUGGGGACCGAACCCAGGGCCUUGUGCUUGCUAGGCAAGCGCUCUACCACUGAGCCAAAUCCCCAACCAAGACGUUUUUCUCAAGUACCUGUUUAAAUGUGUCAUUUUAAUGAAUGAAUGUUCAAUAGCUGCUCACUUUUCUUCCUUCCUUCUUUCCCUCCCUCCCUCCCUCCCUCCUUCCUUCCUUCCCUUCCUUCUUUGAAACAGGUUUUCUACCUAGUUCUGGCUGUCUGAAAGAUCGCUAUAGACCAGAGUCCCCUCAAGCUCAAGAGAUCUGCUUACUUUUGCCUCCUGAGUGUUGGGAUUUCAACUGUUCAUUUACUCCUAACUAAAAUCCAUUCUGUACGUAUGGAUAGAAGUUCCAUUUUGUAUGUGAUCCUAAAAGAACCCACCCUGGCUUGCUUUCUCAGCUGGGUAGACCCAGAGCUAGAUUCCAACCCCUGCCUCCCGUGUCUGUGGCAGGUUAUUUUGUAAGCCAGUGAGAUGGCUCUGUCUAAGGGGUUUCCUUAUCAACCUGCUCCACCCUGCCUGGGAACAGGGAAGGACGGCCUCACUGUGUGUAGUGAGGUGGGAAGUGGGCGGGUGUCUGCACAGUUGGAGCACUGAGAACCUCCAGGUCUUAGACACCAGCUUUCUACUUCCAGACGUUAGCGUGUGGUCAAGACCUGAUGCUGAGAGUCAGGCAUCGAGCCUCGAGGACCACACAGAGGUGGUUACCCCAAGAAAGAGCUGGAAGAGGGGGAAAACUGAGACACGAGGUUUUCAACAAAGAAAAGGGGAAAACUGGUGAGAUGGAAGGGAGACUGCCCCUUGACCCAAGCAAGUCCACUAGACAUCCUCAGUUGGAGCACCCUCAACACAGGCUACCUUCGCAAUGGGCAUUGCUACGUCAGCCUCAGCAACUGCGUGGUCUUUGCUUUUGCUCCCCCCACCCCACCCCAGUGCAUUUGAAGGGUGGAAUCUGAUGACCUGGAGUCCAUGUGGGUCACUGGCAUUCCCAUAACAGACCCAUUUGCUACCGGGACUGUUUGCCACUGACUAAACAGACAGACAUGAUGAUAGGCUAGUCUAGCUAAGUUUCUUUUCUCUAGAGAGAAUGAUAAUCAGGUAGAAAAUGAAAGGUGGGACUAUAAACAGGAUUUCCUGUGGAUGGACAGCAUGUACCUCCUGUGAAAGAAUCACACCCUGCCCCCAGCUUUAUGGAGGUAUACCUGUACCUCAUGUAAGAGGAUCCUCCCUUCCUAUAUGGACCUCCCCUUGACAACAGAUGUUCCCAGGCUGAACCCAGGUCUUCUCUUUUGUCAGAUAAAUGUAUCUGCAGCUCAGAGUCUUAGCUGUGUACCUCACCUCAGCCAAGGCAGCUCAACCAGCAUUCCUUAGUGAUUCAAUUUUCUUUGGACAGAACGGAAAGCACAGAAAGAAUUUGUGUAGUGAAGUAGCCAUCUUUAUCUGGGUCUCUGGGCUUGCCUCCUGUGGGGUCUUUGUGUCUCCCAGGCUUUGCCUCAUGCAGUGGAAUGGCCUAUUAGAGUGUGCUGUUGACUCCUAACUCAAGGAUGGGACUCUUUCACUAGUUCCCUCACCACCAAGGGCACCUUCCAUUUUGGGGUUAGCAAGACACUUUCUAGCAGUGCAGAAUUUGGCCCAUGUGGAAAGUAAUGGCCCUGGAGGUCCCUUCGAAGACCUUUUUAAAGGUUUUACCACUCAUUCCUCAAGGAAAAACCCUGAGUUGACUGAGAAGUUGUGAAACCUACCCUUCCCGGGACAGGAAAGGGGAAAUGGAAAUGGUGGUGAGCUAACAGAUCACCUCUGCCUCCAAAGAGGACCUAGUCAUCCCCAAAGGCCCUUUUCUUUUCUUUUUUUUUUUUUUUUUGGUUCUUUUUUUCGGAGCUGGGGACGAACCCAGGGCCUUGCGCUUCUUGGGCAAGCGCUCUACCACUGAGCUAAAUCCCCAACCCCCCCCAAAGGCCCUUGGGGCCAGCACGUGCUUCAGAGAAUUGUAAAACAGGGAAGACGGUUUAAAAAAAUGUCUUCUACACUUCCUCAAGUUCAAAGAUAGUGCUGGCAUGCCUAACGACCCUGGCAGAGGGAAAGAAACAACACCCCCCACUUUGCAGGGCUCUGCUCUCUGUGAUUUUAUAGACUGGCUCCUUUUAGAAGAAAUUCCAGACUGUCGCUUACUUAUGAAGCUGUUGUAGAUUACACAAAAAUGAUCAGAUGCCAGAAGACGAGCGCUUAUAAUGUGUUUUCUUCUCCAAAGCAAAUACACUCACGUCUUUAAAAAGCUGAACUAAAAAUCAUUUUAAACAAAAUCGUAAGUAUAGCUUGCACGAUCCCUAGGCCCCAGGGCCUCUGAUACGUGGGUAGUAUCAGACGGCCAGGCUUAAUUGCUGGAAGCCAAUCAUUCUAAAUUUAGCUGGUUGAAGUCACCUUUCUUCUAUCUGGUUUGCAAAGAAACAUCUCAUGAGUUAGCAUGAGCGGCUAAAAAUAAGCUGCGAGUUUCAUUUUCUGUUGUUCAGCAUGGCUUCGAAACCAAUCGGCACAAACCUGACAGAAAAAAUCAGCAACUCAAACUGCCUUCGUUCCUGUCCUGAUGAACAGCUCCCUCCCAGGCCUGACAAACCUUUGUCCUCCUCAAGGUCUUGUAGAAAUGGGGACGGUGAGCUAACGUAUGCAGAUGUAUCACUCCUGCACAGGGUGUCACCUACACUUCAGGGAUGCCGGAGACCCUUCUGCAGGGCCAGGGAAUAAAUAAACCCUGGGCUCCAGACAGCAGGUUCUGAGGUGUUGAGUUCAGUCUCCCUUGACCCAGAUGCCCAGGUUCUUACGCAAUUCCAUGCUGCAGACCCAGGCAACUCACAACAAGUUCAGUUUCAAAACCGUCUUUUCAGGGCCAAGUCGGGCAAGAAGGUGUUUAACUGCCGUUUCUGUGCUUCAAAGGAAAGGCUCCAUCUCGCCAUGGAGCAUUCAGCUGUGCUGUCGCCCAGUGAGCAGCUCUGUGAGAAGCAAGCUCUCAGCGAAAUGAGAUUGAAAGGGGGCAAAGAAGGGUUAAUCUCCCUCCAUUAGGGCGGGGCCGCUUGGCGGAGGUGAAGAGAAUAAUCGGUAUGAAGGGCAGACCAGACAAAGCACAUUCUGGAAAUGGAAUUACGGAGCAGGCUGAGAAGGAUGAUUGUCCCGAUUUUCACCGUGUGACUAUUUCUUAGAUCUUGGGGUCUUUACCUAGCUUUGAAGUUACAGCCUCAGGGAGGAGGAAGAGGGCAUGUUCACACUGAGUGUAGGGAUAUCUAAGCUGUCAUUCCAUAGAGCUGGGAUGUCUGGGAGCAGAGGGCGAGGUCACAGCUGCCAGAACACUGAACAGACCUAACCAACCCCAAAUUAGACACUGCACGGCCAAGUAGACAACAGGAGCGUGGCUUCCCUAGGAUGGAGCAUGUCCUUUGCUUCUUAUUUCAUUUUGAAAACCAUUUUAAAAAAAUGUUUAUUAUUUAAAUUUAUUAUUUGUGUGUACGUAGUGCAUGAAUGUGUGCGUGUGUGUGUGUGUGUGCAUGCAUGCGCGAGCACACACAGGCGCACACACACACACACACACACACACACACACAGAGGCGCACACACACACACACACACACACACACAGGUCCCAAGAGCUCAGCAACAUGGUGGAUCUCUUGGAGUUGAACUUCGUAGGCUGCCUGAUGCAGGUGCAAGGACUCAGCUUGGGUCCUGUGCAAGAACAAUACACGUCCCUUAGCACUGAGCUGUCUCUCCAGACCCUAUUUUGUUUUAAAUUAUGCAUGUGCGUCUGCAUAUGAUAUGUGCAUGAGGAGGCUAGAGGCAUUGAUCUCCUGGAGCUGUAGCGCUCUCUCUCUCUCUCUCUCUCUCUCUCUCUCUCUAUAUAUAUAUAUAUAUAUAUAUAUAUAUAUAUAUAUACAUACAUAUACAUAUACAUAUAUAUAUAUAUAUUCAAGCAUAUAUAUGUUUGAGAGCAGCCUGCUAUGGUUGCGAGGAAGCCAACUUUAGUCCCCUGGAAGAACAGCAAGUGCGUUUACCUGCCACGGUCCUCUAUUUUGAAAACAAAAAUUAAGAAAUUUAAAAAAAAAUAACAUUUUGUUUCUUUUUUAUGGGCAAUGUGGUGGGGAGGAGUCACGAGAAGUUACAAAAAAGAGUUUAGGAAGCUGAUGCACACCUGUGAUCCCAGCAGAGGUAGGAGAACGAAGAACUGAAGGCCAGCCUGGGCUCAGGGUGAGACCCUGUUGCAAGUACGGGGAUGGGUAGUAAGUAUAGCACUCUAGCGGUAACUCACAAGGCACAAGGCAUCCAGUGUUCCCACGCCCCGGCCUAUACUUGCUGACAGUUGUAUUUUCUAUCUGAGUCAUUCCUGUAGAUGUAUAGCACUUCCUUUUGCUCACCUACAAUAAAAUGAAAAUAAAGUUGGGGCUCCUGACCCUGGGUAGGAUGGUCCCUAAAAGACCACCCACUGUUCCAGCUUUCCUGAUAACUGUCUACGUGACCAUUCAUGCUGCCUGGCAUUUAGGUAAUGGGAAAUAGCUGGUCUCUUCUGCAUGGGUGAAGGUUUGCCAAGUAGUGCCUGGCUACAGUGAUGGGAUGUCCCAUCAGGGACUGCUGAACCUCUUUGAGCCAAGGACCCCUUGGACUAGUGGCAGCUAUUUCUACAGGACAAGGGAGGUGAUCCAGAUUCAUGGGGAAGGGACAGAGUUAUCUUGUGCUAGACUCUCCCUGCAGCUCUGGUUGUAAACUGGGUAGAUGCAGCUCUCAUAGUGGAGAUGGGGCGUGGAGUCAAUACAGACAGGUAGGAGUCGGGACACCAGCAGUACCUGGCAAUCAGGAGACCUACUGAGCACCUUUUACUUUUUUGUUUAUGUGUGCUGGGGUCACUGUGGGAUGCAGACACCCUGUCUAGGUGUCACAGAACUCUGAUUUCUCUGGUUAGGUGCAGUUCCCUAGCCCAAGGACCCAGUCCUCUGAAUGACCAGAGGUCAUGUAUCAGAAGACUGCAUCAGCUGAGAAGGCUUGAAGGAGACAUGACCUAGUGGUUAAGAGCAUUGCAGCGGACCUGGGUUUGGUUCUCAGCACCCACAUGGUAGCUCACAACCAUUCUACCUCUAGUAUCCAGAGGAUCUGACCUGCUCUUCUGGCUUCUGUGAGCAGCAGGUGCAUGGCGCACAUACAUACGUAGGUACAUACAUACAUACAUACAUACAUACAUACAUACAUACAUGCAUGCCAACAGACACUCAUGCACAUAAAAUAUGAAUCUAAAAAUUUUUGUUUGUUUUGAGACAAGGUUUCACUAUAUAGCUUUGGCUGUCCUAGAACUCAGUAUGUAGACUAGGCUGGCCUCAAACUCAGAGAGAUUCACCUGCCUCUACCUUUGGCUGGGAUUAAAGAUGUGCACCACUACUUCUAGGACUAAAAACAUUUUUUUUGUUUUAAGAAAAAUUUGUAGGGCGACAAGACUGUGAAUCUCGCGUGGAGCAAACACAGCAAGGACAUGGAUUGUCCCAGUCAUUCCUGAAAUGUCAGCCGCCAUCAGCCGAGCCCCAGCUUGAGGGAGGUCGUAAACACCAUUAGAAUCUUUGCUGAUCUAAGCUUGCAUCCAUAACUUUGGACCAGAAAGCCAAGAAUCGAGAGAGUUACCAAUGGGACUGAGGGCAGCCAUGGAGGACUGUUCAUAACAGCAGCUUCUCUGGUGUCCUGGGCAUGGAGAAGUGCUAUCAUAGGGUGUUGUUCCUCACCAGCUGACAGUGUGGCCAUGGGUAGGCACAGAUGAAUUACGUGCAGGGUUAUGGUAUCUGAAUGUGAACAGGGGGACUGUAGACAGUGGAGCAGACUGUAGAGGCAGAAAUUGAAAGGCAAAUAAAUGACAGCGGUGCAAGCUUUUAAUCCCAGUGCUCCAGAGGCAGAGGCCUGAGCUCUCUGAGUUCAAGGCCAGCCUGGUCUACAGAGCAAGGUAGGACAAUGUAGCCAAGGCUACACUGAGAAACUUGGUCUUGAAAACACACACACACACACACAGAGAGGCAAAGAGGGAAAGACAGAGAGAGAGAGAGGCACAUGACAGGAUGUGCCCCUUUGACAGACAAGUUAGGAGAAUGAGAAGAAGUGGGGAGCUGUCAGACCAUCACAUGACAGGUGGGCAUGGUUGAUGUUUUCUGCAGUGUUGUACAGAGGCAAUAGACCAUCAUGCAUCCUCUUAAAUGAUAGUUUUUAAGUUUGAUUGGAUUCGUUCAACAGGUUUUCCACUGUGACUACCACUUCACCUGUUUCUAAGUCUCCACACUCAGGUCCCUGCUGUCUGGCCCACUGUUCCCACUUCUUUGGUGAGAAGGUCUGGUCACGGCACCUUUCAAACUUCAUGGGCACCUCCCCUGGCUUGGAAUUUCAUCAUGUUCUUCCUCAGGGUGGGAUCCACGGGAGCUCCACACCAAACCCUUGCUUUGUCUACUUCGCAGUUCAUGUCUCCUGGCCCGAGUUCUGCCUAAUAACUUAACCUUGGCUCUUGCCCUGAUGCUGACCUAGUUUCUUUCCCUAGACCCACUAUGGCUCAGUUUUGAAGGAAGGUAUCUUAUAGAUGACUGCUCUCUGCCCUCCUAAGUCCAUUUCAGGUUUCAGAGAUCACAGGGCGCUGGCAUUACUCAGAGGAUGGCCUGGGUCCCUAACCCCAAGGUCUAAACUAUACAUGUGAGUCCUGAGAUAUAACCUACCUAUCAGAGAGCAGAUACAAUUUCCCUGGCUGAGGCAGGAGGCUGCUUCAGGAGUCAGUCUUAUUGUUGGUGCCUUCUGUCUGCUUCUAGAAGGUUGGGCAUCUUUGGGUCCUGUGUCUAGUUCACUCUCUGCCCCUGAAUCUAUGGGCAAUCAUGGGAAGCAAUGAUCUGUGUUUACUGCACUGCUCUCAUAUUUACAAUAGUUUCCUGGCUCCCUGUCUAAUAACAUCUUUGUGCUGUAACAUACCAGCUAAAGCAAAAGUUCAAAGCCAAAAAGAAAAGUUAAUUUCUCAUUUGGACGUGUGCUAUGGAUUUGGUAGUUUUCCCUCCAGAGUCUAUGUGCUGGAGGCUUGGUGGUGUUGAGGCAGUGAGAUCUUUAGGAAGUGGAGGUUCAUUGGAAGGUAAUUAGGUCAUGGGGGCAUUGCUAUAGGUCUUGUGUGGUGGGAUCAGUUCCCCCAAGAAUGGUUGCUAUACAUAAACCUGACACUUCUCUGAAUCCCUCCUCUCUGUGUAGCAGGUGUUCCCACUGCUGUGAUGUCAUUUGUCCAGAGACUCUCAUUGGAGCAGAGAUGUCUGUGUCGUAUUUGUCGACCUCCAGAACUAUAUGCUAAAUAAAUAUCUUAUUUAAUGAUGUCUCUACUUAUCAGAUGUUAUUUAUAGCAAUACAGAAUAUGACCAUAUACUAGCUCAGGGUUCCCUAACUAUUUCCUGUGUAAUAAACACCAAUGGAAUGAAUAUGUAUCAAACUAGACACGUGUUUGCAUGUGUAACAUAUAAGCAGGCCUCAGGUCCUGUAUGGCAUGUAUAUGAAUAUGAAGGGCACGUUAAAAUGUAUAUUUCUGAUAUCUGAAAGACAGCAGGUGAAACCUAGACAUGGUUAGCCCAAGUCUCCACAGAGUGAUAUGGAUAAAUCUGAAAUGCCUGAGAUUGUGAUCAGAACUUCUGACGUCACUGAGACCCAUGAGCAUGCAUUUUCGUCUGAGGAACCCAAAGGGGCUGGGUUCUGGAAUAGACACAGAUGCCCUUCUGGAUCAGAUUUUACCAAUUGGUAACUUUAAAAAUCAGAUUAUUCAACUUCUGGGAAUUUUUCUUAAAUUGUCCACAAGGUGUUCAUCAACAUUCACAGGAGUGUUUAUAUAUUUGUAACAGUGGGGCAUCAGAGACAAUCAAAAUUGCCAUUUUUAAAAAUGGCUAAAAAUGGUUAAAUUAAAAUAUGCCUGUGCAAAGAUAAUAGUCAUUAAAAAAAUCAUGUUUUCAAA